rnacentral:rRNA from 1 species
GAUGCUAAUACCGGAUAACAACACUAGACGCAUGUCUAGAGUUUGAAAGAUGGUUCUGCUAUCACUCUUGGACGGACCUGCGGUGCAUUAGCUAGUUGGUAAGGUAACGGCUUACCAAGGCAAUGAUGCAUAGCCGAGUUGAGAGACUGAUCGGCCACAUUGGGACUGAGACACGGCCCAAACUCCUACGGGAGGCAGCAGUAGGGAAUCUUCCACAAUGGACGAAAGUCUGAUGGAGCAACGCCGCGUGAGUGAAGAAGGGUUUCGGCUCGUAAAGCUCUGUUGGUAGUGAAGAAAGAUAGAGGUAGUAACUGGCCUUUAUUUGACGGUAAUUACUUAGAAAGUCACGGCUAACUACGUGCCAGCAGCCGCGGUAAUACGUAGGUGGCAAGCGUUGUCCGGAUUUAUUGGGCGUAAAGCGAGUGCAGGCGGUUCAAUAAGUCUGAUGUGAAAGCCUUCGGCUCAACCGGAGAAUUGCAUCAGAAACUGUUGAACUUGAGUGCAGAAGAGGAGAGUGGAACUCCAUGUGUAGCGGUGGAAUGCGUAGAUAUAUGGAAGAACACCAGUGGCGAAGGCGGCUCUCUGGUCUGCAACUGACGCUGAGGCUCGAAAGCAUGGGUAGCGAACAGGAUUAGAUACCCUGGUAGUCCA